UACGAGGGGGGCGAGCGUUGUUCGGAAUUAUUGGGCGUAAAGGGUGCGUAGGCGGUUUGGUAAGUCUUGUGUGAAAUCUCCAGGCUCAACUUGGAGUCUGCACGAGAAACUGCCGGGCUUGAGUGUGGGAGAGGUGAGUGGAAUUCCUGGUGUAGCGGUGAAAUGCGCAGAUAUCAGGAGGAACACCGGUGGCGAAGGCGGGUCUCUGGGGCCGAUACUGACACUGAGGAGCGAAAGCGUGGGGAGGCGAACAGG
rnacentral:rRNA from 1 species